GAAGUGUCGGAUUUGCGCCAGAAGAACAGUGCUCACUGUCAGGAGGUCUCUGACCUGCAGGAGGCGCUGCAGUGGAAGGAGAAGAAGAUCGGGGUACUGUGGUUCUGCCUUCUCUCUUCAGGUUCCAGAGGCAAGAGCAGAACUGAUCCAGAAGUUCUUCUCUGAACCUCAGGUCUAAGUGGGACCUGAAGGAUGUCGGAGAGAAUCUUUAGAAAUAUUGGUUUUUGAGUAACUCAGCCAGAACUGGAUCUAUUCUGGUUCUGAUUUUGCCUCAGAAAACUUCUCCUGCAUGCUUUAACAUAUCAGCUUCUCACUUCCUGCUUCCUUCCCUGCCCACUUCCUGCUUCCUGGGCUCCUCUUCGACAGGCGUUAGAACGGCAGAGAGAGGUUUCUGACAUCAUCCGGAUCGAGCGUGACCGGCUCAGAGGCGAGGUUGUUCAUCUGCGAGAUUCUCUGAAGGUAUCAGGACCCCGCUGACGUCCCACAGCUAAAAGCUCUGAAAAUAAUCAACAGCAGCUCCGUCAAUGCUAGAUCCAAACCUUUUUCUACAGUUUAGAUCCCUUCCUCUUUGUUUAAACGAUGAGUUGUGGAAGUGAACUUUCAUACUGAGAGCAGUUUUUCCUGUGACUCCUUUUUGCCCUCGGGGCAUUUUACCUCUGUGUGAUGUCAUAACGUCACCUGAUGACUUCAUCCAAACCUUGACUGUUUAUCUGAUGAUUUCUAACGCCGUGACUCGGCUCAUGUCCCGUUCAUCUUUACUUUGUUCUGACCAGAAACAUGGAGUGGAAUCUCUGGAUGCCAAGAAUGGAGAUGCUGUUGAGGGCGGGGCUGAGGAUGAUGUCAGCACAGAGUCUGGCGGGCAGCUGGAGGAGUGGGCUGACAGCGACAGAGAAGGCACUCUUGGGAGAGCUACCCUGGAUCCACCGGCAGAGGGCGGGAAACUCUCUGAUGAAGAUAUUACGGCCCAUCACGGAGGAGGGGGCAGAGACUUUCAGCCUCCGAGCUCCACUCCCUCCGUUAAAACUAUACAGAGCAGAGAAAAGCAGAGAAUGGGCCACAAACAUCAGCACAGACACGAGGAGACCAAAAGACAAAAGAACAGGAGAGAACAGAACCCAAUCAAGACGUGUCCACCAGGAACCGACGGACACCCCCCUGCCAAAGCGCUAAUCAAGGACCCGACGGUUUCAGCUGAUAGGAACAGCUCCACCGAGAAAGUUUUCAAAUCCAGACUUGUUCCCCCUCGACCUGCUAGAGAUAUUCUUCUGGACCACAGAGCCACAGUGCUGAACCUUCUAGCUGUGGAGAAGAAACCAUCUGCAGAAGACACUAACUGCUCUGUUGGAGGUCUGGAACAGAGCUGUCCUUUGACUGGUCUGGAGAAAGAAGGACUGAUAACCAGCAGCUGGAAGAGCUCAGAGGAGGAUGCUGGUUCUAACAUGUCCUCCUUGACCAAAGAGCAGGAAGGGACGUGUGACGUUGGUACUCAGACCCCAGGCAGCCAUCUGAGGGAGUCGGGACCACAUGGGAUGGAUGAAGACACUGUACAAGAGAAAGUAGUACCAACAAGAUGGCCUGUAGGAGCUGAAGGCAGCUCCUUCUGCAAGGAUCAUUUAGGUCAUCCUGAAGUUCAGAGCUCUGAAACCAAACUGGAACCUGAAGGAGAUGGUCCACCUCAUUCUAGAGGAACCAGGAAAAACCUGAAAGAUUGGAGGAUCCAUGAGGCCAGAGCCAAUCAGAUCCUCAGAGGUUUCUUUGAACAUACCACAGGGCAGGAAUCAGACAGCAUGUUGGUUGCUUUGAGGAGCACUUUUCAAGGAUUGGUCAAUCAUUGGACUUCUGUAACUGACAUGACCAAAGUCUUCUCAGAAGUUCUAAUCUCUCUUCACAAGUGGAUCAUAGAUCUGGACAACCUGAUGACCACUGGAGUGGAGUCGGACCAAGGAGAUGCAGGGCCAGAAGAACCAGUGAGACGCGUCUCUAAGCUUUCAGCAGAAGGAGGUUUGAUGCAUUUCAGACCAAAUCAACUCAGAGAAGAUCCUGCAUGUGUGGAAGUUCCCUUAGCUGGGUGGUCCACGGCACCGAGGUCAGUCUGGUCAGCCCCAGAGAUGCUACAGCCUUCUGGAUCCACAGACCAGGAAGAGAAACAGACCAUAAAAGAAGAAUCUGAGAUCAAAUCCUCCCAAGAAGAGGAUUUAACAGACCAUCCAGCCAUGUCCAAUUCUGCUCCUUCAGAGACAGAAAGCUUCACCGAGGACUUUGUCUUUGUUGAUUCAUACUUUGCUGAACCGCUUCAGCCAUCAUUCAACCCUAAACCCCGCCUGGGUCAGCCAAGAGCAGAAGAUGGGAAGCUUCAUGUGGGACAAAGUUCUAAGGUCAGGAGGCUAAUUGAGACAACGGCGGAGGAAAUCAAAGCCAUGGCGGUGCCGGAGCUCGUGAUGGUGAGUCUACAGGAAGGAAGACAGCUCAACGGGCCGUCCUGGUUGAACGUUGGCUCCACCCAAGAGCAGCCGUCUGGAGACAUGGACAGCUGUGAGGAGGCUGAUGAGGAGCAGGAUCCUCCCCCCAAAGAAUAG
rnacentral:lncRNA from 1 species